CCCAAGUGGACUUCUGGAUCAGUGUGCUUUUGCAGAGCGGUCUUCCAGCCAGAGCCGUGCGCUAGCUAAAGUAAUCAAAAAGCCGAAAAAACGGAGAGAGGGAGAGAGAGAGAGAGAGAGAGAGAGAGAGAGAGAGAGAGAGAGAGAGAGAGGGAUAAAAUGGUUAAACGGCGGGUCGGUGCCGUUAUGACAGACAAAACUGCACCGUAGAGGCGUAAUGGAAAAUCCUGACUCGUGCUCGGCGCGGAAUACAUAAAGGCGAGGAGUGAAAGCGCUUUCAAUAACGGCUCCCUGCCUUGAAUUAAUCACUCACUGUUUAAUGGAUCUUUGAGGUUCGCGCUUGACGCAGUGAGGAACUGCAGCUCUUUGUAUUCUGAGGCAGAGAGAGAGAGAGAGAGAGAGGGAGAGAGAGAGAGAGAGAGAGAGAGAGAGAGACCCAGGAUUGUGAGCCCAACUGUCUUCUUCUGCCUCCUUGAAAUCGUCUUGGGGUUCAUGGUGACAUAGGGACCCCAGUUUCGGCGCCGGUGAGACUCCUGCUCCGCUUCGUCGGGAAGAGAGGAAGAGGGGCCAGCUGCUGAUGAAGGAGCUCAGAGAUGCGUGUUCUCGCUGAAGAGUUUAACCUGAGCAGCCGGGGGUGUGCCUCUGGAUCCAUAAAUGAGACUAAAGCGAUGGGAGAAAGGAAAAUACAAGGGGCUGAGGGCCAUCUACAACGUUGUCUCCAGAGGAAAUAAGCACAAGCUAGUCUGAAGUGGUGAAACGCUACAACUCCAACGCUCCUCUACAGGAAACCCCUCCGUAAGUGCAUAUGCUGUGGCCGGAAUGGAAUGAUCACUGGUUGGAGUGAAAUCUCCAGCUAACGUGAAAAAAAGAUCAACAAUUUUUUGGAUUCGACUCUGGACAUCUUUUGCACCUUGUCUACAAAACAGAAACAGCUGACUAUCCUGCCAGAAUACUGUGAGGCUCAGUCCAGCCUAGUAGAAACUAAAAGUGACAUCCCAAGCU
ensembl:lncRNA